rnacentral:rRNA from 1 species
AUACGUAGGGGGCGAGCGUUGUCCGGAAUGAUUGGGCGUAAAGGGCGCGUAGGCGGCCCGGUAAGUCUGGAGUGAAAGUCCUGUUUUUAAGAUGGGAAUUGCUUUGGAUACUGUCGGGCUUGAGUGCAGGAGAGGUAAGUGGAAUUCCCAGUGUAGCGGUGAAAUGCGUAGAGAUUGGGAGGAUCACCAGUGGCGAAGGCGCCUUACGGGAAUGUAACUGACGCUGAGGCGCGAAAGUGUGGGGAGCAAACAGGAGUAGAUACCCUGGUAGUCCACACUGUAAACGAAGAAUGCUAGGUGUAGGGCGUAUCGUCCUCUUCUGUGCCGCAGUCAACACAAUAAGCAUUCCGCCUGGGGAGUACGGCCGCAAGGUUGAAUCUCAAAGGAAUUGACGGGG